UACGUAGGGUGCAAGCGUUGUCCGGAAUUAUUGGGCGUAAAGAGCUCGUAGGUGGUUUGUCGCGUUGUUCGUGAAAACUCACAGCUCAACUGUGGGCGUGCGGGCGAUACGGGCAGACUGGAGUACUGCAGGGGAGACUGGAAUUCCUGGUGUAGCGGUGGAAUGCGCAGAUAUCAGGAGGAACACCGGUGGCGAAGGCGGGUCUCUGGGCCGUAACUGACGCUGAGGAGCGAAAGCGUGGGGAGCGAACAGG
rnacentral:rRNA from 1 species